rnacentral:rRNA from 1 species
UGAAAGAGAUCAUUUUCAGUAACUCCUGCUCAAUGAAAUUUUAAUAGCCGCAGUCACCUGUGCUAAGGUAGCAUAAUCAUUUGCCUAAUAAUUAUAGGAUAGAAUGAAAGGAAGCACAUGUAGACUUCUUUAUUAAAAAAAUUCUUUUAACUUUACUAAUAAGUAAAAAGAACUUAUUUUUCUCAGGAGGACGACAAGACCCUAUCAAACUUUACAAUUAUGUUUAGCUGGGGCGGCUAAAAACUAAAUCUUUUCCUAAAAAUUUAAAUAACAGCCUAAUUUUUGAUAAUACCAAUGUUACUGUAGGGAUAACAGCAUUAUUUUCCCCAAAAGACCUUAUAAAAGGGAGAGUUUUUGACCUCGAUGUUGAAUUAAUAUCCUCUUAGGGGCAACCUCUUAAAAAGAAAGUCUGUUCGACUUUUAAAUAAUU